rnacentral:rRNA from 1 species
UACGAAGGGGGCUAGCGUUGUUCGGAAUCACUGGGCGUAAAGGGCGCGUAGGCGGCCGAUCAAGUCGGGGGUGAAAGCCUGUGGCUCAACCACAGAAUUGCCUUCGAUACUGUUUGGCUCGAGACCGGAAGAGGUAAGUGGAACUGCGAGUGUAGAGGUGAAAUUCGUAGAUAUUCGCAAGAACACCAGUGGCGAAGGCGGCUUACUGGUCCGGUUCUGACGCUGAGGCGCGAAAGCGUGGGGAGCAAACAGG